AGAGUUUGAUCCUGGCUCAGAUUGAACGCUGGCGGCAUGCCUGACACAUGCAAGUCGAACGGAAACGAUGGGAGCUUGCUCCCAGGCGUCGAGUGGCGGACGGGUGAGUAAUACUUAGGAAUCUGCCCAGUAGUGGGGGACAACUCGAGGAAACUCGAGCUAAUACCGCAUACGCCCCAAGGGGGAAAGCGGAGGAUCUUUCGGGACUUCGCGCUAUUGGAUGAGCCUAAGUCGGAUUAGCUUGUUGGUGAGGUAAAAGCUCACCAAGGCGACGAUCCGUAGCUGGUCUGAGAGGACGAUCAGCCACACUGGGACUGAGACACGGCCCAGACUCCUACGGGAGGCAGCAGUGGGGAAUAUUGGGCAAUGGGGGAAACCCUGAUCCAGCAAUGCCGCGUGUGUGAAGAAGGCCUGCGGGUUGUAAAGCACUUUCAGUAGAGAAGAAAAGCCUAGGGUUAAUACCCCUGGGUCUUGACGUUACCUACAGAAGAAGCUCCGGCUAACUCCGUGCCAGCAGCCGCGGUAAUACGGAGGGAGCGAGCGUUAAUCGGAAUUACUGGGCGUAAAGCGCGCGUAGGCGGCUUUGUAAGUCGGAUGUGAAAGCCCUGGGCUCAACCUGGGAAUGGCAUUCGAUACUGCAUAACUAGAGUAUGGUAGAGGGAAGUGGAAUUUCCGGUGUAGCGGUGAAAUGCGUAGAUA
rnacentral:rRNA from 1 species